rnacentral:lncRNA from 1 species
UGACAAGUGUAUAGAUUUUUUGUUUUUUUUUCUGUUAUUAUUAAUUCUUUGACAAUUGUAUAUAUACAUGUACAGAUGCAUGAUGAAAUACAGAGAAUUUCACAAUAUUCUUCUUCAAAUUUUUACAUGGUAUAAGAGCAAUAGCUCGAUCCAGUAUUACAUUCAAUCAAUCUAUCUAUUACAUCAGCUCCUUCAUUAGAAGAAAAUGGGUGACACAACUUCUGCCGUUGCAGAGACCAGCAACACUAUCAAAGUUGUGACCUAUGAUUCUAAUCACCCCUAUCAUCUCAAUAAGUCUGAUUCACGAAGUAUGACUCUAGUCAAGUUUUUGAUAGAAAAGGAUACCCAGGAUGGAGGAGAUCCAUUCUUCUGUCACUAUCAGCCAAGAAGAAGCUUGGCUUCAUCAAUGGAGUCUGCAAGUCUCCAGAUCUUACAUCUCCUAAACUUGAAUAAUGGAAUUGUGUAAAUGAUAUGGUUAUCUCAUGGAUUCUUAAUGCACUUUCAAAGGACAUUGGUGAUAGUGUAAUUUACUCCAAGACUGCAAAUGAGCUUUGGGACAGCCUAGAGCAGAGAUUUGGGAGAUCAAAAGGAGCUAAGCUCUAUCAUCUGCAAAAGGAAUUAUCAGGAUUAAUCCAAGGAAAUAGUGAUGUUGCAGGAUACUUUACUAAGCUCAAACGUUUGUGGGAUUAAUUGGAUGCUUUAAAUAUAUCAUAUGCUAUUCUUGUGUGUGUGUGUUUGUGAAGGAAAAGGAAAAUUAGCUUAAAUCAUUGGAGGAUCAGAGGUUGAUCCAAUUCCUAAUGGGACUAAAUGAUAUCUAUGCACAAGAAAGAGGAAACAUUCUCAUGAUAAAUCCUUUGCCUAGCAUAGAUAUUGCUUAUUCACUUCUUUUAAAGGAUGAAAAUCAAAGAGGUGUAUGCAAAUACAAGUUGUAAUUCAGAAUCACUUUCAUUCAUGGCAGAUGGAGAUAAACAACGUAAUGCUCAAUUAUUAGCAGAUUUUGCUGCUUUCAUGGUAGCAUAACAAGGGAGAAAUUUUCAGAAAAAUAGAAAUAAAGCACAAAGAGGAACUGUACUGGGACAGAAAUACAACAAUCCAGCACAGAAAUUCAGUAAACCACAGCAGAAGUUUAAAGGAAAAGACAGGUACAACCCAAAUGUAUCUUGUACCUACUGUGGAAAGACAGGGGACACACAAGAAGGCUGCUAUAGAAUUAUUGGAUUUCCAUAUGAUUUUGAGUUUACCAAUCACAAGAACUAUCAAAAUCAGAUCAAGGGGAAUGCAGUAUUGGCACAUGAGAAUCAUGAAACUCAAUGGGAACAGGCUGGUGAGAACAUCAACAAUUUUGGGAACCAUUUUACCAAGGAAUAAGUUGCAGAGAUGAUGAAUAUGUAUAAACAGGCAAAAGUCAUGCAAGCAGGAAAUUCAGGAAUUAAUGUGAAUGCAACUGAUGGUACUAUUCUAAAAUACUCAGGUUCAGUGUUUACAACUCUAAAUUCAGAUACUUGGAUCAUAGAUUCAGGUACCUCAGAACAUAUGUGUUUUGAUUCUAAUUCCUUUUUAUUCCUUACUCAACUUCAUGUACCUUUAAACAUCAGUUUGCCUAAUUCUUUCAACGUAACUGUUACUCAUAUAGGAAGUGUGUCCAUUCUACCAGGUCAUGCUCUAAACAAUGUUCUUCAUGUUCCAGAUUUCAAAUACAACUUACUCUCAGUUCAUAGGUUCUGUAUUCAGUUCAAAAAUGAUGUUUUACUCACAUCUAUUAGGUGUAUGUUGCAGGGCUUUUCAAUGAAGAGCCCACAAGCUUUUGGUGAAGUUAGAGAGGGACUUUACAUUUUGGAUCCUAGUAGUCUUAAGUCCAAGGGACUGUUCAGUAAUAAUGUAAUUUCAAUUCAAAAAGGAAGCGAUUCCAUUUCAGAGUCUAAGUCUUUCUCUAGUCAUGUUUUUCUUAAUACUAUUCCUGAUGUUAAGCUUUGGCAUGUAAGGUUGGGACAUCUCCCUUUUUCAGCAAUGAGACAUUUAGAUUUCCUUCAUUGUGACUCUAACUCUAAUUUUAUCUGUGAUGUUUGUCCUAAGGCUAGGAAAACAAGGAAUCCUUUCCCAAUCAACACCAUUAAGUCAAAUCACAUUUUUGAUCUUAUACAUAUAGACACAUGGGGGCCUUACAAGUUCAAUACCUAUAAUGGUUUUAGAUAUUUUCUUACUAUAGUGGAUGAUUAUAGUAGAGGAACCUGGACAUUUUUGCUAUCUUCUAAAAGCAAUGCUUUUCCUAUGCUCAAAUCUUUCUUGUCUAUGGUUGAAGGACAGUUCAAUAUGAAGUUAAAGAUGAUAAGGUCUGACAAUGCACUAGAAUUGGGGAAGGGGACACAUGAAGCAGCCUAUCUGGCUUCAGAAGGAAUUUUGCAAAAAUUAUUUUGUGUGGCUACACCCCAACAGAAUGGAAUUGUUUAAAUGAAUCAUAGACAUCUUUUAGAUCUUUUAGAAAUUGCUAGAGGAUUAAUGUUUCAGUCUAGACUGCCUAUGUGCUGUUGGGGAGAAUAUAUUCUGACUGCUACACACAUCCUGAACAGGUUACCCUCCAGAGUCUUUCAAGGAAAGACACCAUAUGAAGUUCUGUUUCAACAUAAACCCAAGUAUGAUUAUUUCAGAAAUUUUGGAUGCCUAUGUUAUGCUUCUACAUUGGCACAAGGAAAAGGAAAGUUUGAUGAAAGGGCAACAGCUUGUGUGCUGCUUGGUUAUCCUAUCCAUCAAAAGGGAUAUAAACUACUGGAAUUGUCCACCAGGAAAGUGUUUGUGUCAAGGGAUGUACGGUUUCAUGAAUCCCAUUUUCCCUUCACAGAAAUCAAUAUAGCACACCAUCCUAUUUUCCCAACUUCAAUCUUCAACUCUGAACCUACUUCUCCUCUCACCUCACCAGCUCAAACACAGCUUGCUUGCACAAACCAUGAAAUAGCAGAUGAUUUUUUAACACAACCAUCAACCCCUUCCUCAUAUUCACCUACUCCUCACACAGCCUCACCUAGACAAACAUCUACUGAAGUAGAGCCAUCACAUAAUAAUAUACCUACAUUCAUACCUCAUGACCCUAUUCCCCUGAGGAGAUCAUGAAGGAUUUCUACUCAACCUCCCUACUUAAAAGACUUUGUGUGUAGUAGCAUCAUAUCCACAUAUGUCGCUACAGCCUGUUUUACCCUUCCUUGUCAACCUAGAGAAUGCAGUUUUUCAUCCCUCUCACCCAAUAACCAACAUGUCAUGCAAUCCAUUUCUAAUCUAAGAGAGCCUUGCACUUUUGCACAAGCCUGUCAGCAUCCAGGAUGGGUAGAAGCCAUGAAUGCAGAAAUUAGAGCACUAGAAGACAAUCACACAUGGGAUGUGGUUGAAUUACCUAAAGGAAAAAGGACUUUACCUUGCAAAUAGGUAUACAAGGUGAAGCACUUAUCAGAUGGGAAAGUUGAAAGAUUGAAGGCAAGAUUGGUAGUAAGGGGGGAUGUCCAAAGAGAAGGCAUAGAUUAUGAUGAGACUUUCUCACCAGUGGUCAAGAUGACAACCAUAAGGUGUUUUCUCACUGUUGCAGCUAAGAAAGAUUGGGUUGUUUCUCAAUUGGAUGUAAAUAAUGCAUUUUUGCAUAUAAGCCUUCAAGAAGAGGUUUACAUGAAGUUCCCAGCAGGUUUGGAUCCUCCUAGUCCCAAACAUGUCUGCCUUUUGAGAAAAUCACUUUAUGGCCUAAAGCAAGCAUCUACGCAAUGGUAUGCUAGACUUUCUGGAGCUCUAAGUUUUAAGGGAUAUUCAUCUUCAUUAAAUGACUAUUCCUUGUUCUUUAAGCGUGCAUGGAGUCUUAUCUCUGUUCUAGCAGUCUAUGUUGAUGACAUACUGAUUACAGGGGAUGAUUUAGAUGAGAUUCAAGGGAUCACAUAUUUUCUGAAUACUGAAUUCAAUGUCAAGCAUUUGGGAAACAUUCAUUAUUUCCUAGGCAUGGAAGUUUUGAGAGAAAAAGCAGGCUUUAUGGUGAGUCAAAGAAAGUUUACCUUAGACAUGCUGCAGGAAUUUGAUGUCUCACAUUAGCCUCGAGUCAGUUCCCCUUUGGAUCCUUCCUUCAAGCUCCAAGAUGAUAAUCAAUACCUGCUAAACCCCACUGUAUAUCGUCAUUUGGUUGGAAAAUUAAAUUUUGUAACCAAUACACGCCCAGAUCUGUGUUUUGAUGUCCUUACCCUUAGUCAAUACAUGCAGAAACCAUGCUUUUCUCAUUUUUCUGCUGCUCUGCGAGUGCUUAAAUAUCUCAUUUCUGAUCAAGGACAAGGGAUCUUACUGUCCGCUGAGCCAUCUUUCUCUUUACUUGCCUUUUGUGAUGCUGAUUGAGCUUUCUGCAAAGAUUCCGGAGGUCUGUUAGUGGUUUCUUUAUCACCUUAUGAGGUACACCUGUCUCAUGGAAAUCAAAGAAGCAUGCCUCAAUUUCUUUAUCUUCCGCAGAGGCGAAAUAUAGAUCUAUGAGAAAGGUGAUUGCAGAGCUUACCUGGUUGGUUCGACUUCUUGACGAUCUCUCUGCACCGGUCACUCUUCCGAUUCCUCUUCACUCUGACAGCAAAGCAGCAAUCCACAUCGCCUGAAACCAGUUUUCCAUGAACGAACAAAACAUGUGGAAAUUGACUGUCACUUUGUGCGACAGCAAUUCCUUUCCGGUCUAAUCACACUCUCCUUUGUUCCCUCCAAGGAUCAACUAGCAGACAUAUUUACAAAACCUCUUUCUGGGGUCUAUCAUCGAGACAUGUUGAGCAAGUUGGGGGUAACUAUGUUCCCCUCCACCUUGAGGGGGAUGUCGAGAAGAACCCCUAUUCUAAUUCUGAGAUUCCUCAAGGGAUGAGAAGAAGAAGAAAGGGUUUCAGACAAGAACUCGAUAUAAUCUAAGUACUUUAGAUUAUAUUUGUGGUUUAUUCAAUUGGACACAUGGAGACAAUUGAACCCUUAGAUCAUGCAAGCAUAUUUUAUGAUGGAUCAAAUAAUAGCCCUCAGAUUUGUUAACACUCUAGAUUUCCCUCACGUGAGUAGCAUGUGAGGGAAUCAAAGUUUGUUACUCAUGGUUAUAGAUAUUAUAGAUAGGCAAAUUAGAUGGUGACAGGUGUAUAGAUUUUUUGUUUUCUUUUUCUGUUAUUAUUAAUUCUUUGACAAUUGUAUAUAUACAUGUACAGAUGCAUGAUGAAAUACACAGAGAAUUUCACAAUAUUCU